UCCUCGUUAGUAUAGUGGUGAGUAUCCCCGCCUGUCACGCGGGAGACCGGGGUUCGAUUCCCCCGCGGGGAG
rnacentral:tRNA from 1 species